rnacentral:tRNA from 1 species
GGCUGUGGCUCAGUGGUAGAGUGCUUGCCUAGCAUGUGUGAGGCACUUAGUUCAAUCUUCAGCACCA